rnacentral:rRNA from 1 species
AUUGAACGCUGGCGGCAGGCCUAACACAUGCAAGUCGAGCGGAUGAAGGGAGCUUGCUCCUGGAUUCAGCGGCGGACGGGUGAGUAAUGCCUAGGAAUCUGCCUGGUAGUGGGGGAUAACGUCCGGAAACGGGCGCUAAUACCGCAUACGUCCUGAGGGAGAAAGUGGGGGAUCUUCGGACCUCACGCUAUCAGAUGAGCCUAGGUCGGAUUAGCUAGUUGGUGGGGUAAAGGCCUACCAAGGCGACGAUCCGUAACUGGUCUGAGAGGAUGAUCAGUCACACUGGAACUGAGACACGGUCCAGACUCCUAUGGGAGGCAGCAGUGGGGAAUAUUGGACAAUGGGCGAAAGCCUGAUCCAGCCAUGCCGCGUGUGUGAAGAAGGUCUUCGGAUUGUAAAGCACUUUAAGUUGGGAGGUAGGGCAGUAAGUUAAUACCUUGCUGUUUUGACGUUACCAACAGAAUAAGCACCGGCUAACUUCGUG